UUCCUAUUCCUUAGUGCCAAUUCAUUCCUUUCUGGCAUAAGAUCAUUGAAUUUUGGAUUUCUGUCAACUGAAGUUGAGAUCCAAUUUGCUCUGCCAGUAUGAAGAGGACAUAUAAAGUGUUGGCAACUAGAAAUUUUACACUGAGGGGAAGAGACUGGAUUCUCUUUUGAGAUGGGGGCUAAUUCUAAAGCACACCAGCAAACCCUGGACUUGCAGCAAUGCUGACACUCUCAGUGGAAGGAAAAGGGAAAAUCAUUUCACCCUCAAAAGCACAAUGAAGGAAGCAGCAGACACCCUGUUCCCCUCAAGAGAACACACCAGGCACAACCUGGAAGCAGAGACACCAGGCCUAACCUGCACCUGUCAUGACCUUGGACUUCCCAGCUUUCACAACCAUGAGAGAAUGAGCUCCUACUCCUUCUAAGUCACCCAGUCUGCAGAACUCUUUUUGUACAAAAUGUAAUCACACCAUUCAGAAGAAAUCAAAACCUCGGGACAUCAUCUAAACCUGGAGGCUUUUGAAAACCACCUUCAAGUAUCAUUGUAUUCAAGGUUAAGAUUUUAGUAUAAGAAUUUUAAGGGGACAAAAACGUAUUAAACCCAUGACAAACUAUCUCAAAAGACAGCGAGUUAUCAUGUUGCUGCUAUAGCAAACACAGAUAGAACUGGCAUCGUAGACAACCCAUCAGAGAAGGACCCCUUCCUCACUCACUGAAUUUCAGCACAGCAGGAGCGCGUUUGAAAGUGACCUGGACAGAGGAAGUGUCUUGCGUCUAAACUAACACACUCUACGAACAUCUUACAGUCACUGGAUACUGAGUUCACUCUUUGUUUUCCAAUCCCUCUCUCAGAAGACCUAGGCAAUGAUGAAACAUGGACACUUGGAAGUCAGAUCAAGAUGGAUAUAUCAUUUUUUCACACUCUGACCCAUUUACUUAUGACAUCCAGGCAAGAUUUGGGGCUAUAAGUUUGAGCCCCAAGAUGCAAGUUAGUUUGAAUUUCCAAUUGCUACCUGUGGCUUUGGAAUUACUGGAAACCUGGACAUAGCUGGUCUGGCUACGGCAUUCUUUGUAGCUGGAAUGGCUAUAUGUCGAUUCUUGUACACAUAGCACAAGAAUAGAAGUGACGGGUACAGGCUGUGGCUCUUAGCCUUGAAAGGGAAGUGAUAGUUUGCCUUGAAUCAUCUGAUGCUGAGAAAAACAACCCCCAACUUCAGAAUUUUUAAGGAAUUGAACCGAGGGCUUUGCACAUUCUAGGAAGGAGAAUUAUAGGCUGUGAAACAGGAAGAUGAUGCUAUCUGAAUUACAUCCUUAACCACACAAAGACAUCAUCUGCAAAAGGAGUUGGCUGAGGUUUCGAAUACAGACAGUCUGAUUAUCAAAGUCUGUUGCUUAAGAACAAAAGCUCUAAAUCUGGCAACUUCCUUCCAGUUAAGCACUCUUAGAAAGCAUUACAGAUUGCUAGCCAGAAUGAGGACUCUGCAUGUAAAUCCUGAAGACCGGAAUUGGGUGCCUCCCCAUGGUGAACUGUUUGCUAGGGAUAACCAUGAGGUCCCCCAAACCAUGCACCCCAUUGCCAAAACACUUGAUUACAUGCCAGAAGUUAAAGACCCUGUUGCUGAUGACAACAUUGGCUGUGAUCACAGGACAUUGGAAUAUCAUGCUGGAACUACCAGGCUAGCCCUCAUCGAGCUGGAAAGCCAGGCAGCCCCUGGAGGAAAAUGGUUACUGACAGCAUGAAUAAGCAGGAGACCCUGCAGACUUUGAAAUUAACCAACUCGUCAAGAAGCACACACAUGCACAAUAAUGGCAGGUCUCUGGGGGUUCUCUGAUUGGUCCUCAGGCUUCCUCAGUGGAAGAGAACACAUACCUGGUACUGAAAAGCAAGUCAGAGCCCCAUUGUCAGGAAACUCAUAGACUCUGGAGAGAAGGCCCCACUGCUCUCUGGAAAAGAAGAAUGGGGUUGAAUGCUGAAAACAAAACAAAACAAAUCUCAAAUUUGCAUACCCCCCUUUAACUCAAGCUUCUCUCAGUCUUGUUCAGAGGAUCUGCUUCAUUUUACAGAUGGUAGAGAGAGCAGAGCUGAACAGAGAUCUGUUGAUAAGACAAGAAAUUAGCUAGCUGACUGCCUACCAUAACAUGUGCCACCUCUACUAUAUCUUCCAUGACUCAGGAGAAAUUGCAGGGAAAGUGAUGACAUGAACACUGCUCUUACUGCUAGCCUGACAACCAGCCCCAGGUUGAUGGUGACAAACACAGUGAUCAAUUAAAACCUAUCAAAACAGAGGAUACAGAGAAACAAACACUAAAUCAGUCUGUCAGUAGGCUUGCUAUGGCUCAGGGAACAUUGUGGAAGAGAGGGCAAAAACAUUGUAAAAGCCAUAGAGUGGGUAGAAAUAUCCUGAGACAUGUUCCCUUUGCUCCCCUACAGGGGCUGACUGUGGUCUUCAUGACCCUUCACUGAAUGCCAUAACUCUACUGAGAAGAGUCUCCAGGGUAAUGGGAGCUGGGGCAAGGGAAUUAAAGAGAAUAACCUGUUAUAAUUAAUAUAAAAUAAAAAUUAAUAUUAAGAAGAUAUGGACACCUAUAGAUACCAACAUGGUGAAGGUGAUUCCUGGUGUCUGGGUUAUCUCACAUACCAUAAGCAUACCUAGUACUACCCAUGUUGAGAAAAAUAGAAGGAGUUUAUCAUUGUGCAUGGACCACAUUUCCUUUAGUCAUUUAUCAUUUGGAGAACACUUAGGUUGUUUGUAUUCCUAGGCUAUUAUAACUAUUUCUCCAGUAAACAUGAACUGAAAAAACUAGAGGGGCAGAUAUAGAAGACUCAUCAGUGAGAAAUGACGAAUAUAUAUUCAUCACUGCUGCUGAAGGAUGUUCAGCCACUUUGAGGAAUAAUUCACUGCUAUCAUGAAUAAAGGAAUAUUUAUUACCUGACCUAGAAAUUUCACUCCAAAGUACUUGGUAGAACAAAUGAAAAUGUAUGCCCCAAACCAAAUAUUUACAUAAUUCCCCCAAUCCCUUUAAAAUUAAUGGAAAAAAUCCAGCAAUAUCCUAAUAUAUUUGAACUGACCAAUUGAUUUAACAAAACUAUGUAGUGAAUCAAUAUAUGAAAAAAUCAAUGCUAUUAGCAAUUACAAUGAAUGGGUAAUUGUUAAGUGCCUGGGUGUGAGUAAAUACUAUGUGUAACCAAAUGUCAUAUACAUUAUCCUAAAUGAAAGAAGCCAGAAUCAACAGAUUUCAAACUCUGUGAUUUCACCUAUAGUACAUUCUGGAAAAAGUAAGCCUAUAGGAGAAAUACCUGGUGUUGUCAUUGGUUUGGAGUUGGGAAUGGUGAAAGAGUGAUUAUAGAGGAAAUUUGGUGGGUAGAGCUAUAUAUAGUAUAAUUUUUUGUCGCAUAUGUUUUGCAGCUCAUAUAAACUUACAAGAAGACAUAACUCUAUGAUAUGCAAAUUAUGACUUAAUAAAUGAUGUAGCAGGCAA